UGGGGAAUAUUGGACAAUGGGCGCAAGCCUGAUCCAGCCAUACCGCGUGAGUGAAGAAGGCCUUCGGGUUGUAAAGCUCUUUCAGACGGAAAGAAACGGUUACGGCUAAUACCCGUGACUAAUGACGGUACCGUAAGAAGAAGCACCGGCUAACUACGUGCCAGCAGCCGCGGUAAUACGUAGGGUGCGAGCGUUAAUCGGAAUUACUGGGCGUAAAGCGUGCGCAGGCGGUUUGGUAAGACAGAUGUGAAAUCCCCGGGCUUAACCUGGGAACUGCAUUUGUGACUGCCAGACUAGAGUGUAGCAGAGGGGGGUAGAAUUCCACGUGUAGCAGUGAAAUGCGUAGAUAUGUGGAGGAAUACCGAUGGCGAAGGCAGCCCCCUGGGCUAACACUGACGCUCAUGCACGAAAGCGUGGGGAGCAAACAGGAUUAGAUACCCGGGUAGUCCCUGAGCGGGCUGGCAAGGCGCAU
rnacentral:rRNA from 1 species